GGUGAACGCUGGCGGUAGGCCUAACACAUGCAAGUCGAACGGCAGCACAGGAGAGCUUGCUCUCUGGGUGGCGAGUGGCGGACGGGUGAGGAAUACAUCGGAAUCUACUUUUUCGUGGGGGAUAACGUAGGGAAACUUACGCUAAUACCGCAUACGACCUACGGGUGAAAGCAGGGGACCUUCGGGCCUUGCGCGAUUGAAUGAGCCGAUGUCGGAUUAGCUAGUUGGCGGGGUAAAGGCCCAUCAAGGCGACGAUCCGUAGCUGGUCUGAGAGGAUGAUCAGCCACACUGGAACUGAGACACGGUCCAGACUCCUACGGGAGGCAGCAGUGGGGAAUAUUGGACAAUGGGCGCAAGCCUGAUCCAGCCAUACCGCGUGGGUGAAGAAGGCCUUCGGGUUGUAAAGCCCUUUUGUUGGGAAAGAAAUCCAGCUGGCUAAUACCCGGUUGGGGUGACGGUACCCAAAGAAUAAGCACCGGCUAACUUCGUGCCAGCCGCCGCGGUAA
rnacentral:rRNA from 1 species